AUUCCAGGAAAACCAACAGCAAGUCUUCCUCUGUAACGAUGUGGUCAUGACUUAAUUAACACAAUAAGCAUUGUUGAAUUCGUUUUUCAAUCUUCACUUCACUCUCUCUCUUUCUUUCGAUCCAAUCCAGGGUUAAGGUUAAAGGUCUUUAGAGUCAUGAAGUUCAGGGAAGGGAAUACAGUGGAGCUGUUGAGAAC